UGACAGAUGUUGGGACAUCUGUCACCCCAUUGAUCGCCAGGGUUGAUUCGGCUGAUCUGGGUGGNUAGGCAGGUGUUCCCUUCCUCCCUUACUGCUCCACAUGCAUCCGUUUCGAAGCUGAGCGCUCAGUCAAAGAGCAUGACAUACCCCGAUACAGGUGGUACCAUUCAUCGGUCACANGUAUACAGUAGCUGUGCUCCUCUUCUAGAACCUCCAAACAAGCUCAAGCUCCAGUUGCAGGAGAACGUAGGGCAUUCAAGCUUCCAAGACUGCAGUUUUUUUAUUCUUUUUAUUUAUUUNUAUUUUAGGAACUGUA
rnacentral:snRNA from 1 species